rnacentral:rRNA from 1 species
GUAGGGGGCUAGCGUUGUCCGGAAUCAUUGGGCGUAAAGCGCGUGUAGGCGGCCCGGUAAGUCCGCUGUGAAAGUCGGGGGCUCAACCCUCGAAAGCCGGUGGAUACUGUUGGGCUUGAGUACGGAAGAGGCGAGUGGAAUUCCUGGUGUAGCGGUGAAAUGCGCAGAUAUCAGGAGGAACACCGAUUGCGAAGGCAGCUCGCUGGGACGUAACUGACGCUGAGACGCGAAAGCGUGGGGAGCAAACAGGAUUAGAUACCCUGGUAGUCCACGCUGUAAACGAUGGGCACUAGGUGUGGGGGGUGUCGACUCCCUCCGUGCCGAAGCUAACGCAUUAAGUGCCCCGCCUGGGGAGUACGGCCGCAAGGCUAAA